rnacentral:rRNA from 1 species
ACAGAGGCGGCAAGCGUUGUUCGGAAUUAUUGGGCGUAAAGAGCAUGUAGGCGGCUAUGUAAGUCGGUUGUGAAAGCCUUCCGCUUAACGGAAGAAUGGCGGUCGAAACUGCAUGGCUUGAGUGCGGGAGGGGAGAGUGGAACUUCUGGUGGAGCGGUGAAAUGCGUAGAUAUCGGGAGGAACACCAGUGGCGAAAGCGGCGCCCUGGCACUGGCCUGACGCUCAUGUGCGAAAGCGUGGGGAGCGAACGG